GUGUGUGUGUGUGUGUGUGCACAGAUCUGUAUGUCAUAUGGUGGAGACUAGGAACCAUAGGUAGGGAAGUAGUUGAGUGACGGACUAGCUGGCGCUCAUGUAAACAAAUCAGCUGUAGCUUAUCAGCUGAUGACUGAUUACUAAUUGCACUGAGUUAUGGGAUUACACUUGAUUGGUAGGAAGGGGGCGAGAGGUAUGUUGAUAAGCCAGGGUGAAGAUGCCUGUGGAGAGUUGGUGCCUUGUCUCUGGCUUGUCUUUGUGUGUUGCAGUGUUGGAGUGGUGGAUCGCUAAAGGACCGGCGGACGGCCUAUGUCGUCAGCUAAA